rnacentral:rRNA from 1 species
AUGUUGUUGCCGACAAAACUGAUAGGCUAUCCUCUGACAUACCUUGCCUACAUGAUCGUGAAGGCCGUCAUCGCCCUUCCUACUUUUAACCCACAUGGUGGGCCCAUAACCCACAGGUCCCAGGAUCGAAAACGGACUCUCCUGUACACCCUGUUGUCAAAGUUAUUCCUUGCGCUUGACCUCGUAUAUAAUUCAUGGGCCACCUGCCUAGUGAUCUAUUCUGGUAUCAGGCACAAAACUUAUUCCCAUUGCUCUGGACCCCUUUUACACUUUGUUUCAGGCAUCGAACGACUACCUACCCUCUUGAAACUUCUCAUGGUACCUUCUUACUUGGCUCUUGAUAUUUUCUUAAGUUUCAGUUCGAGAGUUACUUUCCGCCACCUUCCCUGA